AUGAACGCUGGCGGCGUGCCUAAUACAUGCAAGUCGAGCGAACGGACGAGAAGCUUGCUUCUCUGAUGUUAGCGGCGGACGGGUGAGUAACACGUGGAUAACCUACCUAUAAGACUGGGAUAACUUCGGGAAACCGUAGCUAAUACCGGAUAAUAUUUUGAACCGCAUGGUUCAAAAGUGAAAGACGGUCUUGCUGUCACUUAUAGAUGGAUCCGCGCUGCAUUAGCUAGUUGGUAAGGUAACGGCUUACCAAGGCAACGAUGCAUAGCCGACCUGAGAGGGUGAUCGGCCACACUGGAACUGAGACACGGGCCAGACUCCUACGGGAGGCAGCAGUAGGGAAUCUUCCGCAAUGGGCGAAAGCCUGACGGAGCAACGCCGCGUGAGUGAUGAAGGUCUUCGGAUCGUAAAACUCUGUUAUUAGGGAAGAACAUAUGUGUAAGUAACUGUGCACAUCUUGACGGUACCUAAUCAGAAAGCCACGGCUAACUACGUG
rnacentral:rRNA from 1 species